UACGGAGGGGGUAAGCGUUGUUCGGAAUUACUGGGCGUAAAGGGCUCGUAGGCGGCCAGCUAAGUCAGACGUGAAAUCCCUCAGCUUAACUGGGGAACUGCGUCUGAUACUGGAUGGCUUGGAUUUGGGAGAGGGAUGCGGAAUUCCAGGUGUAGCGGUGAAAUGCGUAGAUAUCUGGAGGAACACCGGUGGCGAAGGCGGCAUCCUGGACCAAUAUUGACGCUGAGGAGCGAAAGCCAGGGGAGCAAACGGG
rnacentral:rRNA from 1 species